rnacentral:rRNA from 1 species
GACGAACGCUGGCGGCGUGCCUAAUACAUGCAAGUAGGACGCACAGUUUAUACCGUAGCUUGCUACACCAUAGACUGUGAGUUGCGAACGGGUGAGUAACGCGUAGGUAACCUACCUAUUAGAGGGGGAUAACUAUUGGAAACGAUAGCUAAUACCGCAUAACAGUAUGUAACACAUGUUAGAUGCUUGAAAGAUGCAAUUGCAUCGCUAGUAGAUGGACCUGCGUUGUAUUAGCUAGUAGGUAGGGUAAUGGCCUACCUAGGCAGCGAUACAUAGCCGACCUGAGAGGGUGAUCGGCCACACUGGGACUGAGACACGGCCCAGACUCCUACGGGAGGCAGCAGUAGGGAAUCUUCGGCAAUGGGGGGAACCCUGACCGAGCAACGCCGCGUGAGUGAAGAAGGUUUUCGGAUCGUAAAGCUCUGUUGUUAAGGAAGAACGAGUGUGAGAAUGGAAAGUUCAUGCUGUGACGGUACUUAACCAGAAAGGGACGGCUAACUACGUGCCAGCAGCCGCGGUAAUACGUAGGUCCCGAGCGUUGUCCGGAUUUAUUGGGCGUAAAGCGAGCGCAGGCGGUUAGAAAAGUCUGAAGUGAAAGGCAGUGGCUCAACCAUUGUAGGCUUUGGAAACUGUUUAACUUGAGUGCAGAAGGGGAGAGUGGAAUUCCAUGUGUAGCGGUGAAAUGCGUAGAUAUAUGGAGGAACACCGGUGGCGAAAGCGGCUCUCUGGUCUGUAACUGACGCUGAGGCUCGAAAGCGUGGGGAGCGAACAGG